rnacentral:rRNA from 1 species
UACAGAGGUCUCAAGCGUUGUUCGGAUUCAUUGGGCGUAAAGGGUGCGUAGGCGGCGCGGUAAGUCGGGUGUGAAAUCUCGGAGCCUUAACUCCGAAACUGCAUUCGAUACUGCCGUGCUUGAGGGACUGGAGAGGAGACUGAAUUUACGGUGUAGCGGUGAAAUGCGUAGAUAUCGUAAGGAAGACCAGUGGCGGAAGG